CUAGAACAGUCUGGUAAGUUCAGAAAAGUACAUCACUUUACUGUAAUGCAGCCUUUAAAACCAGGAAAAAACAACACUUGUAUCAUAUCACGACAUUACGAUGUCCAAAAUUUAAGACGAUAUCUAGCCUCAUAUAUCGAUGUCAAUAUAAUAUCGAUAUAUUGCCCAG